UGGCUGAGACUCUGUACUGCUGA
rnacentral:piRNA from 1 species